AUUUUACCCUAUCGUUUUUCGUCCUGCCUCAUGCGAUGCAAACCUCCCUCCAGCACCCCGCCCGACUCUCUCUCUCUUGCGAUGAAAAAAGGAAACAAACUCGCAGAUCCGCCCCCCUCCCAGAUCCUGCUCGGCGCCUGCGCCCGCGUCUUCCUGCAAUCGCCGCCGCGGAAGCCACCCCUCCCUCCUUCCCCCGGUGGCCGGUGCUCAGAUCGGCGCAAGGACGAAGCAACCCAGUCGCGCCGCUGGUGAGGAGGACGCCUGCUUCUCCCCCAAAGGCGACGACCCAUGCCGCCAUCUCCCGUGCCAACGACACCGCCCCCGACAGCGAUGAGGCCCCACCACCGUCUCCCACGGCAACGCCACCGGUCAACAGCUCGCCCGCGACGCGUCUCCUCGCCCUCACGCUCACGCUACGCGCUGCCACCUCGACGCCAUUCCACGACCUGGCCCGUUGAUGCCACCGGACAGGCCACCGCCUUCACGCCACCAGACGCGCCAAAGCUUCCAUGAUCUACCCCUUUGACGUUGAUUCAAACCACCACCUUCACGACGCCAGAAACACCGCCACCUCCACACCCUGCCUUGCCGUCAGUGCUUCACGCCGUCGCUGCUCCAUGCCACCGGAUGCCAGCCUCUAGCCAGCAACGAGGGCCCAACAGGUAUGGCAUAUCUUCUCUUCACUGUGACUAACUUUGAUCCCGUUCAAAGAUUAUCAGUACCUGACCAACAGAUAUGUGAGUCAGCCCCCUUCCUUCUUCCAUCACCCUUGGUCUACAUUAUCUGCCUGUAGAUCUGGUGAUCUCGUAUGUGACCAUGUGUUCAAUAUGGUUGGCGGCUAAGUUUCUAUUAGAGAUUGAUAAACGUUUGGUGUAAUGCUAGAUAAGUUUAUCUGGGGAUUUUCAAUGUCUUGCUACUACUUGAUAAUUUGACUUGUUCCCAGUGAAGUACGACUACUCUGUUGUUAAAUUCUUGCAAUUGCGCAUCAUAUGGAGUAAGUCCCAAUGCCUUAGCCUAACAUGAAUUUCCAGAAAUUAGAUACCAUUAUUUUCUAUUAUUAAGGUUAUUUUAAUCUAUUAAUAACCAUGCCAUUAUUUUUUUGAAACUUCCAGCUACUUGACAGCAAGAAGAAGCAUGUACCCUACUACCUAGCUAUGGAGACAGUACGACACGAACAAGUGAAGGUGUCCAUCUGGUUCCCCCCCACAACCAGCUUUCCAGUUUGCUGAUAAGGGAAUUUAAUUAUUGAGGUUUUAUCGGUACCAGUCUACAGAUUAUGCUGCUAGAGGUGGUAGUUCUUGAUUGAGUUGUUGUGACAGCGUGCUGACGAGAGGCAAUAGCUGUUGUUAUCGGUGCAGCUAUUGCUUGUGCUUUUCCCUAUAGUUAUUGUGUUGUUGGUCCAUACUUGGUGCUUAUAUGAUGACAAGUGAACUUCUGCUAUAGACUAAUUUUGAUUAUCUAGCUUAGUUAAAAGAUUGAAUUUCUAAACUUAUUACAUCAAUGUGAGUGUGUAACGCCAAGUAUUGUCUGCCCCUCUCCUAUUCUUGAAACAAGGAUUCUAUUGUAUGCUAAUAAUUUUCCAAAUGCCAUUUUUACAGGUUUGCAAAAGGCAGUUGCCAGAAUAAUAAUUGGUACAAAUCUUAGCUGGAAUCUUUAUGUGGUACAGAAGCAGCAGAAAGAAAGUGUCAAAUACAUUUGAACAGAAAUUUAGACAUCAAUUUUUAGCAUUCACCAAUUCUUUCCGCCUGUGAAUCUGAGAAUGUCUAUAGCUAAAAAGCUCCACAAUAUGAAGGCCACAAAGUUUAUUCAACCCUCACCCUCUCUGUCUAAAUUCAGGCUGACAUUCAUGAAUUAAAUUACAACCCAUCACGUUUCAGUGUUCAAUAAUUCCCUAUCUUCAUGGCUGAAAUAGAAUCAAAUAGUCCAUAUGCGGAUUUUAGAAUGUCAAACCAGGUUUGAAAACAAGAGCUCUAGAGUUCUAUGCCUCACAUUUGAUAUUCCUUUUUAAUUGCUAAUACGGUCCAUUGACUAAUACUCUGUUAUAUAAAUAGCACACUUAUUGUGGUUCACAAACAACUAAAAUGGAAUCAAAUAUAUAUUCUUCAUGGAGUUAUAAGUAAUUUUUGGGAUAGACAGAUGUUUGGUUUGCUUUUAUUCUAGAAAGUUGAAAACAUAAGAGAGAGUGGUGUUAAGUAGUUGAUUAACAACAAACAUCGCUUGACAAUGCAAGGUAUAAUAUAAUCAACAACUAAUUCUUCUUCCAUUUUGUUGUCAUGCAAGGUUCUAGGUGCAAAUGAUCAUUCACCGCUCAUAAUAGCAUAAAUACAUAUAAAACUGACAUGGAAGGAUGAUAGCUUGAAGAUCCAAUCUCUUGGAGAAUUGCAGAGAGUUUGAUGGAGGCAAUGCAUGAUUUGAGACAAAGAAGGGUGUGGUUACUUUUGUUAGUGAGUGUUGGACAUUUCAGGCUUCUAUGUAGCCAUGCAAAGAUUUGAUCUUAGAUAUGAAAUUUAUGUGUAUCUUUUAUGGAGAGACUUAUUCGUUACAAAUUUCAUUUUUAUGUGACGCUAACAUUGAUAUAUAUUGAUUUUCUUAUAUUAUUUAUUCACUUUUGUAUUUUCUUGAUUUUCCUAAUUUUUGAGAGAUUUUUUUGAACUACAUUUGGUAGAGUUAUCAAAACAGCAUAACCAAAUGAUCGGUGGAUUCGAUCCCCUAAAAAAGCUCUCAAACAGCAGCGUGGAAACUCCCCCUACUGUUGAUUUCUAACCUGGGCGUGGAGGGGGAUCCAAGUGUCCCAAAAAAAAUUCUGCUGCAGGAUCAGAGAGAUGGAGGGAGACCAGGGGUGAAUUAUGAUCCACGGUCGCUAGCUACUCCAGGCGAUGGAAGACCCAAGUGCACGAGGACGCUGAACUAUGACCAAUUCUUCAACAGGGACUCAGAGAGUAGAAGAGAUUGUAUCAUAGCAUUUGCACAUUGUAUCAUAGCAUUUGCACAUGGACAGAAACCAUUAAAGAUGAGAAACCAUUAAAGAUGCUUAGAGUAUUUAGUAAUUAUAAAGACAUAUCUAUAGAGACCUUUAAACGUGGUGACAAAUGUUAAGUAUAACAUGCUUUGUUAUAAAACAUUAUUUUAGCCGCAUCAUAUAAAGGUCUAUACAGGAGAGUUUGUAGGCCUGCAAUGCUAUACUCUCCGUUAUUGUUAAUUU